CCUACGGGGGGCUGCAGUGGGGAAUAUUGGACAAUGGGGGCAACCCUGAUCCAGCCAUGCCGCGUGUGUGAAGAAGGCCCUCGGGUUGUAAAGCACUUUCAGUGAGGAAGAACGCCUGGUGGUUAAUACCCAUCAGGAAAGACAUCACUCACAGAAGAAGCACCGGCUAACUCCGUGCCAGCAGCCGCGGUAAUACGGAGGGUGCGAGCGUUAAUCGGAAUUACUGGGCGUAAAGCGCGCGUAGGUGGCUUGAUAAGCCGGUUGUGAAAGCCCCGGGCUCAACCUGGGAACGGCAUCCGGAACUGUCAAGCUAGAGUGCAGGAGAGGAAGGUAGAAUUCCCGGUGUAGCGGUGAAAUGCGUAGAGAUAGGGAGGAAUACCAGUGGCGAAGGCGGCCUUCUAGACUGACACUGACACUGAGGUGCGAAAGCGUGGGUAGCAAACAGGAUUAGAUACCCGUGUAGUC
rnacentral:rRNA from 1 species